rnacentral:tRNA from 1 species
AUUGGGGAUAGCUCAGUUGGUAGAGUGCUUGCCUAGCAUGCACAAGGCCCUGGGUUCAAUCCCCAGCACUAAUA